rnacentral:rRNA from 1 species
UUCUAAUGGGGGAAACCCUGAAGAGCGACGCCGCGUGGAGGAUGAAGGCUUUCGGGUUGUAAACUCCUGUCAUUUGGGAACAAAGUCUUACGUUAACUGCGUGGAGAUUUGAUAGUACCGAAAGAGGAAGAGACGGCUAACUCUGUGCCAGCAGCCGCGGUAAUACAGAGGUCUCAAGCGUUGUUCGGAUUCAUUGGGCGUAAAGGGCGCGUAGGCGGCGGGGUAAGUCGGGUGUGAAAUCUCAGAGCUCAACUCUGAAACUGCACUCGAUACUGCUCUGCUUGAGGACUGGAGAGGAGACUGGAGUUCACGGUGUAGCAGUGAAAUGCGUAGAUAUCGUGAGGAAGACCAGUGGCGAAGGCGGGUCUCUGGACAGUUCCUGACGCUGAGGCGCGAAGGCCAGGGGAGCAAACGGGAUUAGAUACCCCGGUAGUCCUGGCAGUAAACGGUGCACGUUUGGUGUGCGCGGAUUCGACCCCGUGCGUGCCGGAGCUAACGCGUUAAACGUGCCGCCUGAGGAGUACGGUCGCAAGAUUAAAACUCAAAAAAAUUGACGGA